rnacentral:lncRNA from 1 species
CUUUCACCUUGGUUUCUCCAAGACCUGGUAAUACAGAUGUAGCAAGAAUUUAAAAAAGCAUUUUGAUGAAGUGAACAAAUAAUAGCAACUGUCUACACUCUAGGAGUUAUGUAUUCAAUUCAGUUGAAAUAACUUUUCAUGGUUCUAUAACAGAAAAAAAAAUCCAAGUAGCUGAGUUUUUAAAUUAGAUUUCAAAGUGAUUCCAAAGUUUUGACUCUUUUGCUAACCAUGAGGAAACUAUGUCCUACUUUCUCUGCUUAUGUUUUAGUUUUCCUAAAUCAAAACACAAAAAACAAUAAUUAAGGUCGAAGAAAUCUGUUUAAAAGCAGUAGAUAUCUCUUUUCUAUACUUUUAC